rnacentral:misc_RNA from 1 species
GAUGAAGAACGUAGUGAAUUGCGAUAAGUAAUGUGAAUUGCAGAAUUCAGUGAAUCAUCGAAUCUUUGAACGCAGCUUGCGCUCUCUGGUAUUCCGGAGAGCAUGCCUGUUUCAGUGUCAUGAAAUCUCAACCACUAGGGUUUCCUAAUGGAUUGGAUUUGGGCGUCUGCGAUUUCUGAUCGCUCGCCUUAAAAGAGUUAGCAAGUUUGACAUUAAUGUCUGGUGUAAUAAGUUUCACUGGGUCCAUUGUGUUGAAGCGUGCUUCUAAUCGUCCGCAAGGACAAUUACUUUGACUCUGGCCUGAAAUCAGGUAGGACUACCCGCUGAACUUAAGCAUAUCAAUAAGCGGAGGA